GACAGAGGGGGCAAGCGUUGCUCGGAAUUACUGGGCGUAAAGGGCGCGUAGGCGGGAUGGCAAGUCGGUCGUGAAAUCCUUCGGCUCAACCGAAGAACGUCGAUCGAUACUGCUGUUCUUGAGGGUUGCAGAGGAGGCUGGAAUUCCCGGUGUAGCGGUGAAAUGUGUAGAGAUCGGGAGGAACACCGGUGGCGAAGGCGGGUCUCUGGGCAAUUCCUGACGCUGAGGCGCGAAAGCGUGGGGAGCAAACGGG
rnacentral:rRNA from 1 species